CUGAAUCUCAAUUUGCUAUUUUUUUUUUUUAUUAUUUUAUAAAUAUCACUUAUACAUAUUUUGUCAUUUAAGAAUAUCAGUUCUCAUUAGAAUUAACAUGUAUAACAUUUGUUAGAAUGAUAUUCAUGUGUGAAUAUAUGCCAUUGUUUGUUGGAUAUCUUAAUUUCUCACUUUGCAUAACACAAUAUUAAAUAUUAUAAUACUGUAGGGAAAUAUCCCCUUUAUUUAUGCAAUUUGACUGGUUACCCUGACAGGGGGUUGGGUCUCAUACCCAGAUGUGAACAAAAAUGUGAACAAAAACCAAGAUUACUAUGGUAAUUAAUGCUAAGAGAGCAGGGUACUCCAGUAUAAAAUAAUUAUCAUAUGGAUUUACAUGGAAUAUGGGUUAUAUGCCAUAUAUCCCCUUGGCCUGACAGGGAAUAUAAAACACAGACAGGGAAUAUAACCCCAUGUACCCUAUGCCCUGUGAUGAUAUCACAUAACAUAGUGUCUACAGCUUUUAAAGUUUUAUGUUACAUCUCUGCAUUAUUGAUAUCUCAUACUAGAGGGAAUAAAUUAAAUUAAUUAAUACUAUUUUCCAUUAUGUUAACUUCUUUUUUUAAAUUCAAGAUAUCAUCUUUAUAUAAUGUAACAUCACAUUUGUUUGGAAAAGAUCUCGUCUAGAACCACAUUGAAUCCAUCUAAUACAUGUAUGAAAAGCAAUUAUUCACAAUAGUUUUUUUUAUUUAAUGAAAAGGUACCAUUUUGAAAUCGCUCAUUGCAUGAAAUUCAGAUAGUGUGGUAAUGUUGAGAGAUGAGUGAAGAAAGUGAGAUUGUGUAAAAAUAAACCAUUAAGUUCAAUGUUAAUUAAAUUAUACAAAUCUACCAGUGACCAUGAAUUAAUAAUGGGAACAGCCAUAUUUUAAGUUUUAACCAAAUUUAUGUUUACAUAUUUUUACUGUUUUACAAUUUUGUUUAUUUUUAUACCAAAUAAAUUUGACGAGAAA
rnacentral:lncRNA from 1 species